rnacentral:rRNA from 1 species
GAUGAACGNCUGGCGCGCGUUCCUAACACAUGCAAGUCGAGCGAAGCACCUUACUUGAUCUCUUCGGGAUGAAAGUAUUGUGACUGAGCGGCGGACGGGUGAGUAACGCGUGGAUAACCUGCCUCAUACAGGGGGAUAACAGUUAGAAAUGACUGCUAAUACCGCAUAAGACCACAGCACCGCAUGGUGCAGGGGUAAAAACUCCGGUGGUAUGAGAUGGAUCCGCGUCUGAUUAGCUAGUUGGUAAGGUAACGGCUUACCAAGGCAACGAUCAGUAGCCGACCUGAGAGGGUGACCGGCCACAUUGGGACUGAGACACGGCCCAAACUCCUACGGGAGGCAGCAGUGGGGAAUAUUGCACAAUGGGGGAAACCCUGAUGCAGCGACGCCGCGUGAGCGAUGAAGUAUUUCGGUAUGUAAAGCUCUAUCAGCAGGGAAGAAAAUGACGGUACCUGACUAAGAAGCACCGGCUAAAUACGUGCCAGCAGCCGCGGUAAUACGUAUGGUGCAAGCGUUAUCCGGAUUUACUGGGUGUAAAGGGAGCGUAGACGGAUGGGCAAGUCUGAUGUGAAAACCCGGGGCUCAACCCCGGGACUGCAUUGGAAACUGUUCAUCUGGAGUGCUGGAGAGGUAAGUGGAAUUCCUAGUGUAGCGGUGAAAUGCGUAGAUAUUAGGAGGAACACCAGUGGCGAAGGCGGCUUACUGGACAGUAACUGACGUUGAGGCUCGAAAGCGUGGGGAGCANACAGG